rnacentral:rRNA from 1 species
CCUACGGGUGGCAGCAGUGGGGGAUAUUGCACAAUGGGGGAAACCCUGAUGCAGCAACGCCGCGUGUGGGAAGAAGGUUUUCGGAUUGUACACCACUGUUCUUGGUGAAGAUAAUGACGGUAACCAAGGAGAAAGCUCCGGCUAACUACGUGCCAGCAGCCGCGGUAAUACGUAGGGAGCAAGCGUUGUCCGGCUUUACUGGGUGUAAAGGGUGCGUAGGCGGUCUUGCAAGUCAGACGUGAAAACCACAGGCGCAACCUGUGGACUGCGUUGGAAACUGUGGGGCUUGAGUGAAGUAGAGGUAGGCGGAAUUCCCGGUGUAGCGGUGAAAUGCGUAGAGAUCUGGAGGAACACCAGUGGCGAAGGCGGGUUCCUGGACAUUAACUGACGCUGAGGCACGAAGGCCAGGGGAGCGAAAGGGAUUAGAUACCCGGGUAGUC